CCUACGGGUGGCUGCAGUGGGGAAUAUUGGGCAAUGGGCGAAAGCCUGACCCAGCAACGCCGCGUGAAGGAUGAAGGCUUUCGGGUUGUAAACUUCUUUUCUGAGGGACGAACAAAGUGACGGUACCUCAGGAGUAAGCCACGGCUAACUACGUGCCAGCAGCCGCGGUAAUACGUAGGUGGCAAGCGUUAUCCGGAUUUAUUGGGUGUAAAGGGCGUGUAGGCGGGAAAGCAAGUCAGAUGUGAAAACUCAGGGCUCAACCCUGAGCCUGCAUUUGAAACUGUUUUUCUUGAGUGCUGGAGAGGCAAUCGGAAUUCCGAGUGUAGCGGUGAAAUGCGUAGAUAUACGGAGGAACACCAGGGGCGAAGGCGGAUUGCUGGACAGUAACUGACGCUGAGGCGCGAAAGCGUGGGGAGCAAACAGGAUUAGAUACCCCUGUAGUC
rnacentral:rRNA from 1 species